rnacentral:lncRNA from 1 species
CCGGCUGGACGGGUAAAGCUUUCAUUGCUGGCAUUUCCUUCCAACCUGCGUACAAAACGUUUGGAGAACAUAGAAUAGCCCUUGGUCAUUCAUUCAGCAAGUAGCCUGACUUCGGGCCAUACUUAUUCGAAGCCAACUCAUCUUUUGGGUCUCGUCCGAAGCUAUGGGAUAUUAAUGCCUCGAUCGAGCGAGCCUAGACCCUGACGGCUGACGCAGGCGAGGGGGGCGUAUUUUGGGUGGAUCCCAAACAAGCAGCAGGCAAGUUCUCCAGUUCCCGUUCCUCGUCGACGCACUUUUGAUAUGUCGGAAUGAACGCUGUCCAGAAAGCACAACGGAAUUUAUGCAGGAAACUAGGCAUGCUCACCCCUGUCGAACAUGCUUUGUAGGAAUACUUGGCAAUGUACUCCGGGGCGCUGCCGGAGGAUAUCAUUGCGGCGUUCUCGGCCAUUUUCAACCUUGACGACAAGGCCAUUAUUGAGGAUGCGGAUAAUGCCAUGGCGGCCAUGCUUGGAGACGGCGUCGGCGAGCUUGAUGAUCUGGCAGCGGUGCCGGUGGCCUAGUAGGGAUGACGGCGCACCAGCGACCAUUUUUUGAACCAUGUCAUUGCAUCAACCUCUACAUUACUGUGUCUGGGCUUGCUAGUGUUUGUGCGCAAGCCUCUAUUAUUUGCCUUGCUCAUGCUUGUGCGCAUGCUUUUGUUAUCUGCCACAAGGCUCUUUGCUUCAUUUCGGUCUACCCAGCGACUUCAAGUGCAUUGUAACCUUAAGGGUCAGGCAGACCUUUACUAUCUGCACUGCCGUCGUAUUUGUUGCUAUGAUUGCCCUGCAAGUAAACGGUGUAUCAUUCAACCACCACCAUCGCCAGCUUGCACCCCACCUGAGCUAACAUGUAAUUCUGAUGAUUGGCCUUGGCCUUGAUACAGAUAUCCUGUGUUGGAAU